rnacentral:rRNA from 1 species
AGAGUUUGAUCCUGGCUCAGGAUGAACGCUAGCGGCAGGCUUAACACAUGCAAGUCGAGGGGCAGCAUGUCCAGCAAUGGAUGAUGGCGACCGGCGGAAGGGUGCGUAACGCGUGAGCAACAUGCCCUAUACAGGGAGAUACACCAGGGAAACUUGGUCUAAUAUCCCAUAGCAUUCAUUGAAGGCAUCUUUAAUGAAUUAAAGCUUCGGCGGUAUAGGAUUGGCUCGCGUGACAUUAGCCAGAUGGUGAGGUAACGGCUCACCAUAGCAAUGAUGUCUAGGGGUUUUGAGAGGAAGGCCCCCCACACUGGGACUGAGACACGGCCCAGACUCCUACGGGAGGCAGCAGUGAGGAAUAUUGGACAAUGGAUGGAAAUCUGAUCCAGCCAUGCCGCGUGCAGGAAGACGGCCUUAUGGGUUGUAAACUGCUUUUAUACGGGAGCAAUAAGGGUUACGAGUAAUCCGAUGAGAGUACUGUAUGAACAAGCCACGGCUAACUACGUGCCAGCAGCCGCGGUAAUACGGAGGACCCGAGCGUUAUCCGGAUUUAUUGGGUUUAAAGGGUGCGUAGGCGGAAAUGUAAGUCAGUGGUGAAAUCCUGCAGCUUAACUGUAGAAUAGCCGUUGAAACUGUGUUUCUUGAGUACAUUUGAGGUAGGCGGAAUGUGGUGUGUAGCGGUGAAAUGCAUAGAUAUACCACAGAACACCGAUUGCGAAGGCAGCUUACUAAACUGUCACUGACGCUGAUGCACGAAAGCGUGGGUAUCAAACAGGAUUAGAUACCCUGGUAGUCCACGCUGUAAACGAUGAUAAAUCGCUGUCGGCGAGACACAGUCGGUGGCCAAGCGAAAGCAUAAAGUUAUCCACUUGGGGAGUACGACCGCCAAGGUUGAAAAUCAAAGGAAUGGACGGGGGCCCGCACAAGCGGUGGAGCAAGUGGUUUAAUUUGAUGCAACGCGCAGAACCUUACCAGGGUGUGACAUGGAAUCGCCGCAGCGAGAGAUCGCUGUUGAGCGGAUACACUACGGAUCACACAGGUGCUGCAUGGCUGUCGUCAGCUCGAGUCGUGAGAUGUUGGGUAUAAGUCCCGCAACGAGCGCAACUCAUAUAUCUAGUUGUCACUCGCAAGAGAGCUAUCUAGAGAGACUGCCGGGGACAACCCGGAGGAAGGUGUGGAUGAAGUCAAGUCCUCAUGGCCCUUACAUACGUGGGCUACACACGUGCUACAAUGGUCGGUACAAAGGGCAGCAAAACCGCGAGGUGGAGCGAAUCCUCAAAGCCG